rnacentral:rRNA from 1 species
AUAACGACUCUCGGCAACGGAUAUCUCGGCUCUCGCAUCGAUGAAGAACGUAGCGAAAUGCGAUACUUGGUGUGAAUUGCAGAAUCCCGUGAACCAUCGAGUCUUUGAACGCAAGUUGCGCCCUAAGCCUUCUGGCCGAGGGCACGUCUGCCUGGGUGUCACAAA